UCGGAGCUAGCGGCGGACGGGUUAGUAACGCGUGGGAACGUGCCCUUCACUGCGGAAUAGCCACUGGAAACGGUGAGUAAUACCGCAUACGCCCUUCGGGGGAAAGAUUUAUCGGUGAAGGAUCGGCCCGCGUUAGAUUAGAUAGUUGGUGGGGUAACGGCCUACCAAGUCUACGAUCUAUAGCUGGUUUUAGAGGAUGAUCAGCAACACUGGGACUGAGACACGGCCCAGACUCCUACGGGAGGCAGCAGUGGGGAAUCUUGGACAAUGGGCGCAAGCCUGAUCUAGCCAUGCCGCGUGAGUGAUGAAGGCCUUAGGGUCGUAAAGCUCUUUCGCUGGGGAAGAUAAUGACUGUACCCAGUAAAGAAACCCCGGCUAACUCCGUGCCAGCAGCCGCGGUAAUACGGAGGGGGUUAGCGUUGUUCGGAAUUACUGGGCGUAAAGCGCACGUAGGCGGAUUAGUCAGUCAGAGGUGAAAUCCCAGGGCUCAACCCUGGAACUGCCUUUGAUACUGCUAGUCUUGAGUUCGAGAGAGGUGAGUGGAAUUCCGAGUGUAGAGGUGAAAUUCGUAGAUAUUCGGAGGAACACCAGUGGCGAAGGCGGCUCACUGGCUCGAUACUGACGCUGAGGUGCGAAAGCGUGGGGAGCAA
rnacentral:rRNA from 1 species